rnacentral:tRNA from 2 species
GCCGGGGUAGCUCAGAGGAAGAGCACCUGUCCUACAAACAGGAUGUCGAGAUUUCGAAAUUCUCUCCCGGUAC